ensembl:lncRNA
GCUGCAUAUAAACAGCAUGUAACGAGAGAAUCUGAGUCGUCAGCUUACAUGUGCAGCCUGGGCAUGCAUUAAAUGUGUCUUGUGUCCAAGUUAUAGCCACAACUGAAAUACCUUUAGGGAGGCUGAAAAAUGUGGAUGAAGAGAGGGAAAGCCACAACAAGUGGUUCAGAAGAAGCCUGCUCAGGAAGAGACUGAAGAAACUGAAGAGACGUCCUCACAAGAAUCUGCAGAGGAAGACUAGGAGACCACACCAUUCGAUUUCUACCUCAUCAGCAGUUGGGUCUUUUGAAGGGAGAAGACGCUGCCUUGACCACUUAUUUUCUAUGCCAUGGUCUUUCCACUUAUGCCUGGGGGGGAGGGGAAAAUCACAUAACCUUAAAAAAGACUAUAUUAAUCACCUUCUUUGUAAUCCCUUCACAGUCCCAGGUUUAGUGAAAAACUGCUGUAACACAAAGGGGACACAGAUUACCGAUGCAACUUUUAAUUACUGUUUUCUUUUUUCUUAACCUACGAAUAGUUUGUUUGAGCUGCUAAGUAAGGGUGACUGGGUCAGGAAAGCUUUGAAUCAGAUUUAAGUCAUUCACUGCACUGCAUAUAAACAAGAAACUUGUAACAUAAUUAUAACGGGCAUUGAAAUAGGAAAGGCUUGGUGUGUAACACCUUUGGCCUUACAACACCUCCAAGAACCCACUCCCUAACUUAGUAAACUCCCUGUUUAGAACACCAAAGAUAAGGGAUAGAUACUACUCUUUUUUUUGUAACCUUCUUGUAGAUUUGUACUUGAUUAUUUUUAAACCUUACUCUUAUUUCAGGAAGAAUUGAGAGCUGAUUUUUCACUUAUUUCAGCCGAUAAUCAAAAGAAAGGAAAAAUAGGUACUUUCAUUUUGCAAAAGGGAAGAAAGACAAAGAUACGUUGUAUACUUACAGAUACAAACAUAUCAGCAGAAGUAGUAGUAAACAAAACUCACAGCACUCAUCUUCAGGAAACUAGAAAUUCAGGUAGACUCAGCUUUCCGCAGAGCCAGACACUUUUUGCAAAACUAGAGGUGACUAACACCAAAACACUCUCAAGCCAUAUAAAGACAUAGAUUUAUCAAUUACAGUGGUUUUGGAGGAAAAAAUCAUGAAAAGGUACCCAAGAACGAAUCAGGAACUUGCCUGAACGAAGAAAAAAUGUUUUGUGUGACCUCACCUAAUUUCACCCAUGUAUCAAUAUUUCAAAGGGAAUGAAUCUCUUCUCAGUACUCACCAGUUUUGAUGUAAGAAUCAACACCAUGUACCUCAAGUGAGCUUGUGUAUUACUUUAAGUAAUAUACUUUGACAUAGGAUGGUUCACUGGGCAGUUUUACUCCAGUGACAUUUCUCCAUCUUUUUCACUCAAAGCAGCACUUUUAGCAACAGAUGCAAUAUUACCCCACUAUUCAAUACUACCUCUGAUUUUUACAAUUAACUCAACAGCCUGAUAAAUACAUGCUGCUAUUCACAUACAAUGCAGGAAAUUAUUAUUGGGUAGAUAAUCAUGAAUAUCUGUAUUUUCUUCUUAUUUUUUCUUCAACACUUAAUGACGCAA